GGAAGGAUCAUUACCAUAUCCAAAACUUUACCAACCCACCGUGUGAACUGUUUGUGUUGGGUGUUGCAGCCCGACCUAUAUUUACCAACCACGAGUUUUUUUCUCGUGGCCGUCCAACCGCCGCGAGAAAGCUUCUUUUGCGGUUGGUAAAUUGAAUAACCCCUUUGUAAAACCACUCUUGAAUGAAAACCUGACUUGUGGGGUUCUUUUGUUUUACAAAAAGACCACACGACUAAAACAAAACCAAUAGACAACUUACAACGGUGGAUCUCUUGGCUCGUGCAUCGAUGAAGAACGCAGCCAGCUGCGAUACGUAAUGUGAAUUGCAGAACUUAGUGAAUCAUCGAAUCUUUGAACGCAAAUGGCGCUCUCGGCACUCCCGGGAGCAUGUCUGUCUGAGUGUCAUUUAAACAACCUCGUUCUCGCGUGGGCACCCUGAUUGCAAAGUCGGGCGCGUGCGUGGGGACGGCAGUGAGGCGGUCACGGACCAGUUUUUCCGCUUGGUAACAAGAGGAAAAGCGUACUUGAAAGUCCGAGUCCCUUCAAACGCCGAGACGUGCGAACAACCGAUUUAAGCUUGAUCUGAAUCGCUUGCCGCAACACCGAGUGUGACAAUUUGCUCGAAUGCGUAGCAUUUUUCAAACGCUAGGGUGGUGUGGUUGAGUGUUUGGGGAAGUGUGGCUGUUUAUGCACUUGUCGAGACUAUAUUUGUUGCAGCCGAGGCAAAAGGGGACUUUUCCUUUGGGGAGGGCUUUUUUUUUUGCGGAGGGGGCAACAGUGUUUUCAACCUUGACCUCAGCUCAGGCAAGAUUACCCGCUGAAUUUAAGCAUAUUAAUAAGCGGAGGAAAAGAAACUAACAAGGAUUCCCCUAGUAACGGCGAGUGAAGCGGGAAGAGCUCAAAUUUGAAAUCUCCGAGGUCUCCUCGGCGAAUUGUAGUUUAGAGAAGCGUUUUCAGAGCACGGCGGCUGCCUAAGUCCCUUGGAACAGGGCAUCAAAGAGGGUGAGAAUCCCGUUCAGGUGGUUGCUGGUGCUUGCUACGAUACGCUCUCAACGAGUCGGGUUGUUUGGGAAUGCAGCCCAAAAUGGGUGGUAAAUUUCAUCUAGAGCUAAAUAUGGGCACGAGACCGAUAGCGAACAAGUACCGCGAGGGAAAGAUGAAAAGCACUUUGAAAAGAGAGUGAAAAGUACGUGAAACCGUUGCAAGGGAACCGAUUGAAGUCAGCAGUGCUGUGCAGACAAUCAGCCACGGGUACUGAAGCCUGGGGAUGGAGGCAGCGUAAGCGCCUUGUUUCCGGAAUGGAGGCUACCGGUGGUGUACUUGUUUGUGGAGCAGGUCAGUAUCGGUUUGUGGCGCGAGAGAUGGGGAGCAGAAAGGUAGCUCUUUCGGGAGUGUUUAGUCUGUUUCCUGCGUCGCGUGAUGGACCGAGGAGUCGAAGUGCGUGCCUUUCGGGGCUGGCCCAAGUCUGGUGUUGUGUGCCGCGGGGUGGGACUACAUGUAGUGCCGCGCUGCUGGUGCGGAGCAUGCGGAUGCAAGCACAAACGCGCUGCGGAUACUGGCGAAAUGGCUUCCACCGACCCGUCUUGAAACACGGACCAAGGAGUCUAACAUAUGCGCGAGUCUUAGGGUGGCAAACCCGGGAGGCGGAAUGAAAGUGAGAGACGAGAGCCCUUCACGGGGUGCAUCGUCGACCGAUCUGGAUAUUCUUUGAAAGAUUUGAGUAAGAGCGUAUCUGUUGGGACCCGAAAGAUGGUGAUCUAUGCCUGAAUAGGGUGAAGUCAGAGGAAACUCUGAUGGAGGCUCGUAGCGGUUCUGACGUGCAAAUCGAUCGUCAAAUUUGGGUAUAGGGGCGAAAGACUCAUCGAACUAUCUAGUAGCUGGUUCCCAC
rnacentral:misc_RNA from 1 species